rnacentral:misc_RNA from 1 species
CCUUUCUACGGAGAUUGCAGUCCGUGUUUUCGGACAGUGUGUGCCGCGCCGGCGCGAUGGUCGUGCCGUGUCGCGGGUGCUGGUGUGGAAGAGAUCAUGCGGCUUGCAUGGUAUGGGCAUGCUUUUGGGCUCCCGGACCGCCACCCCGCGGGUUUUUCCCGUGGUGCGGUUCGUUGCCCAUGCGUGGUGCGCGCGUCCCCUUGGGGGUGUGCGUGGGCGCGUGGCGCGUGGUGGUUUGAGAACUGGAUAGUGGACGCGAGCGAGGCGGAGGCCUUUGGCCUUCGUUUUGCUUCUAUUGUUUUUCGAUCGAACUUCAUUUGAAUGUUUUGUUUAUUGUUGUUCGUCGAUCGUUUUGUGAUCAUUUCAGAUGUGAUGAUUUGUCGUCUGGGAAUUUGCCGAUAGGGCGUCUUGCGGGUCCCGUACGGGUGUAUG